rnacentral:rRNA from 1 species
UACGGGGGGUGCGAGCGUUGUCCGGAAUCACUGGGCGUAAAGGGCGCGUAGGCGGCCUGAUAAGUAGGGGGUGAAAUCCUGCGGCUUAACCGCAGGGCUGCCUUCUAAACUGUCAGGCUCGAGCACAGUAGAGGCAGGUGGAAUUCCCGGUGUAGCGGUGGAAUGCGUAGAGAUCGGGAAGAACAUCAGUGGCGAAGGCGGCCUGCUGGGCUGUUGCUGACGCUGAGGCGCGACAGCGUGGGG